rnacentral:rRNA from 1 species
UGGGGAAUAUUGCGCAAUGGGCGAAAGCCUGACGCAGCGACGCCGCGUGAGGGAUGAAGGUUUUCGGAUCGUAAACCUCUGUCAGAAGGGAAGAAACCGCACUGUGCUAAUCAGCAGUGCCUUGACGGUACCUUCAAUGGAAGCACCGGCUAACUCCGUGCCAGCAGCCGCGGUAAUACGGAGGGUGCAAGCGUUAAUCGGAAUUACUGGGCGUAAAGCGCACGUAGGCUGCUUUGUAAGUCAGGGGUGAAAUCCCACGGCUCAACCGUGGAACUGCCUUUGAUACUGCUUAGCUUGAAUCCGGGAGAGGGUGGCGGAAUUCCAGGUGUAGGAGUGAAAUCCGUAGAUAUCUGGAGGAACAUCAGUGGCGAAGGCGGCCACCUGGACCGGUAUUGACGCUGAGGUGCGAAAGCGUGGGGAGCAAACAGG